AGAGUUUGAUCCUGGCUCAGGACGAACGCUGGCGGCGUGCUUAACACAUGCAAGUCGAACGGAAAGGUCUCUUCGGAGAUACUCGAGUGGCGAACGGGUGAGUAACACGUGGGUGAUCUGCCCUGCACUUUGGGAUAAGCCUGGGAAACUGGGUCUAAUACCGGAUAGGACCAUGGGAUGCAUGUUCUGUGGUGGAAAGCUAUUUGCGGUGUGGGAUGGGCCCGCGGCCUAUCAGCUUGUUGGUGGGGUGAUGGCCUACCAAGGCGACGACGGGUAGCCGGCCUGAGAGGGUGUCCGGCCACACUGGGACUGAGAUACGGCCCAGACUCCUACGGGAGGCAGCAGUGGGGAAUAUUGCACAAUGGGCGCAAGCCUGAUGCAGCGACGCCGCGUGGGGGAUGACGGCCUUCGGGUUGUAAACCUCUUUCACCAUC
rnacentral:rRNA from 1 species